rnacentral:rRNA from 1 species
CUACGUGCCAGCAGCCGCGGUAAUACGUAGGGCGCGAGCGUUGUCCGGAAUUAUUGGGCGUAAAGAGCUUGUAGGCGGUUUGUCGCGUCUGCUGUGAAAGGCCGGGGCUUAACCCCGUGUAUUGCAGUGGGUACGGGCAGACUAGAGUGCAGUAGGGGAGACUGGAAUUCCUGGUGUAGCGGUGGAAUGCGCAGAUAUCAGGAGGAACACCGAUGGCGAAGGCAGGUCUCUGGGCUGUAACUGACGCUGAGAAGCGAAAGCAUGGGGAGCGAACAGGAUUAGAUACCCUGGUAGUCCAUGCCGUAAACGUUGGGCACUAGGUGUGGGGGACAUUCCACGUUUUCCGCGCCGUAGCUAACGCAUUAAGUGCCCCGCCUGGGGAGUACGGCCGCAAGGUUAAAACUCAAAUGAAUUGACGGGGGCCCGCACAAGCGGUGGAGCAUGUGGUUUAAUUCGAUGCAACGCGAAGAACCUUACCUACUCUUGACAUCCAGA